GACGAACGCUGGCGGCGUGCUUAACACAUGCAAGUCGAACGGAAAGGCCCUGCUUUUGUGGGGUGCUCGAGUGGCGAACGGGUGAGUAACACGUGAGUAACCUGCCCUUGACUUUGGGAUAACUUCAGGAAACUGGGGCUAAUAACGGAUAGGAGCUCCUGCUGCAUGGUGGGGGGUGGAAAGGUUCGGCGGUUGGGGAUGGACGCGCGGCUGAUCAGCUUGGUGGUGGGGUAGUGGCUUACCAAGGCUUUGACGGGUAGCCGGCCUGAGAGGGUGACCGGCCACAUUGGGACUGAGAUACGGCCCAGACUCCUACGUGAGGCAGCAGUGGGGAAUAUUGCACAAUGGGCGGAAGCCUGAUGCAGCAACGCCGCGUGCGGGAUGACGGCCUUCGGGUUGUAAACCGCUUUCGCCUGUGACGAAGCGUGAGUGACGGUAAUGUGUAAAGAAGCACCGGCUAACUACGUG
rnacentral:rRNA from 1 species